rnacentral:rRNA from 1 species
AUUGAACGCUGGCGGCAUGCUUUACACAUGCAAGUCGAACGGUAACAGGCCGCAAGGUGCUGACGAGUGGCGAACGGGUGAGUAAUGCAUCGGAACGUGCCCAGUCGUGGGGGAUAACGCAGCGAAAGCUGUGCUAAUACCGCAUACGAUCUGUGGAUGAAAGCGGGGGACCGAAAGGCCUCGCGCGAUUGGAGCGGCCGAUGUCAGAUUAGGUAGUUGGUGGGGUAAAGGCUCACCAAGCCAACGAUCUGUAGCUGGUCUGAGAGGACGACCAGCCGCACUGGGACUGAGACACGGCCCAGACUCCUACGGGAGGCAGCAGUGGGGAAUUUUGGACAAUGGGCGCAAGCCUGAUCCAGCAAUGCCGCGUGCAGGAAGAAGGCCUUCGGGUUGUAAACUGCUUUUGUACGGAGCGAAAAGGCUCUCUCUAAUACAGGGGGCUCAUGACGGUACCGUAAGAAUAAGCACCGGCUAACUACGUGCCAGCCGCCGCAGUAAGAC